AUUGGAGCAUGACUUUCUCAGUAUGAAAUCUUAAAGAGAUUGUCUUCCACUGUUUAGACUAUGGAAACAAACAUCCCACACCAUUAACUGUUUUGGUUUUAAACACUGCCUGAUCCAUCUAAACAAAGAUGAAAGGGAAAUGCUAAUUGUGCCUUCCUUAAAGGAAAGAAGGGGUGGGGGAACCACAACAUUGUUCACUGUAACACGCAUAGAAUUCUCAUUCUAAACAGGGAAGUUCUACAAGAUGUUGGCAUAUUGAGGUGUAGAGAGACUGAGGUUGUUAGACAGAUUUAAAAAACUGUGUAGGUCAAACUUCAGAUUUGCAGCCUUCACUGAGGAGCCUAUGAGGAGCACUGACUUGCCAGGAGGCCUGUUGGCUGGAGCCAGUGAUGUCCGGCAUGUGUGCACAUGGCUCCCGAUCAAGCCUGUGUUCACCUGGGCCAGCAGCUCCCAAAUGGGAGCAGGAUCCUGUGGAACUUUUUGCCAGCUCCUCUUCAGCCGGCUGCCUGACAGUUGGAUUGCUCCCUUCAUUUCAUUAUAUGUCUUUCUGUGGUACGACACCUGAAAAACCAUUUCACAAGGGCUUUAAGAUUUUUGUCUGUGGGAACCCCAGAUCUUCUUAUCUUGGACUUCUCUGCAAGCAACUCCUGCACUGGUGCCUCAUUGGAUGCAUAGAAUUUUGGGAAUUAUUAUCUUCUGAAUAUAAAUGUUGUUUUCUGUUGGAGACAUUGUUGUUGCUAUAUUUGUUUACCUGAUUUAAACUUGCAAAAUUUUACAAAUUGUAAUUGUGUUUGCAUUACUCAUUUAUAGAGUAGCCUCAUAGAACCCAAGAGAUUGGUACACGGACUCUGUCUGGAAAAUAGAAAGAAAAGGCUUUUGAAAAAGUACUGUUUUGUGUCAAAACAAAUACGCAACUCAUACAGCCUUCCCCUAAUGCGUCUGGUUGCACUUGGUAAAUGCAAAACAAAACAAAACAAAGGAAGAGAGUGAGAAGGUAUCAUGACCCCAGCCUCAAGCAUGGAGUCAAAGGAGGAGGAGGAGGAACUAUCUGACCCCAAGGCUGCUGUGCUGCUGACUGAAGAGUUGGUCAGCAGAAGAGUUCUGUGAGCCUGAGCUCACAGAAGUGGAGCCAGGAGCCUCACGAGACCUUUCCCUGAGCCCGAAGAGCCAAGUGUCCCCUGUGCUUCCACAUCUCUCCACUGCAAGGAGUACAUUUGAUGGGGGACCAAGGAGAGGAGCCAGGUAGUUGGCUCUUUAAGAGCCUGCAUUCAUUGAAUGAGGUGGAGCUUUACUGUCAUUUUAAUCAUUUGAUUUAUUUGUCACCUAAUGCAAAAUGUCUGUAGGCAACAUACAUACACAACCCCCCCAUCAAGUUUAACUAUAAAACAAUGCCAACCCCAAAGUGUGCGCACACACAGAGAGAAGCAUUGAUAAGCAUGAUUGUCAUAAUCCACCAAAGCCAGGGAGAAGAGGCAUCUCUUAACCUGGCGCUGAAAGGUUCUUAAUGUGGGUGCCAAGCAGGCCUCACUGGGCCCCUCUAUGGCACCUCAAAUGGGAGCCAUAGAGAGGGAAGUGCCACCAAAAUAUUCCUUGCACAGGCCCCAGUGCUACACACUUCAUCCUCUGUGUGGGGCCAACUGAUCUUAAGGUAUGGGCAGGUCAGUAUGAGAACAGGUGUUCUCUUAGAUAUUUGGGCUCCAGGCAGUUCAGGGCUUGAACUGUAAGUGUAAGCAUUUUGAAUUGCUCGGAAAACAAUUGGCAACCGGUGAUGUUGUUUUACAGUAGGAAUUUAAUUAAUGAUUUAUUGCCUCCCACACAUGUCGUAAGGUGAGAUACAAAAUGCAAUCAACACAGCUAAAAUCAGUUUUAAACAAUACUAAACUAUUCUUUAAUGGAUCUACAAUUCUGGACCCUAGAAGUUCUUUAUACAGAUGAAAACAGUCUUUAUUAAAGAAACGGGCAGAAUGGAUGUUGAGCUUAAAAUCUUUGACACCUUGUGGUUUAAGCAAGGAAUUGGACUUGCUUCCACUUUUGUAAAAGCAAGCGAUUUUUAGAUAUAUCCUUAAGUUUCUUUCCUUUUGCCAUGUCAUUCCUUAAAGAAAAAAAAUAAAACUUUUAAUUUGUAUUAACAACACCUGAAGCCUUUUGGCAGUAAUUGUAGGCAUAAUCCAAGACCGUAUGACUUGCCAAGAGAUCUCCGAGAUUUAUAUUCUUUGCAUGAACUGAGUCAGUAAAUUUUUAUUUUUAAUAUUUAAUCAUUUUGCAAUAUUUUGUUUUUAAGUUAGUUCUUUUUGUGAUGUAUUGUUCCCUACUUUUUCAGUCCCUGAUGAAGGCUUGAAGUUUAUACAGCCGAAA